rnacentral:rRNA from 1 species
CAUAUGGUCGACCUGCAGGCGGCCGCGAAUUCACUAGUGAUUAGAGUUUGAUCAUGGCUCAGAACGAACGCUAAUCGAAUUCCUAAAACAUGCAAGGCGAACGGUAGCAUACGGAGUGGCAGACGGGUGAGUAACAGUGGGGUACCCUUUGGUUCGGAACAACACAGGGAAACUUGUGCUAAUACCGGAUAAGCCCUUACGGGGAAAGAUUUAUCGCCGAAAGAUUGGCCCGCGUCUGAUUAGCUAGUUGGUGAGGUAACGGCUCACCAAGGCGACGAUCAGUAGCUGGUCUGAGAGGAUGAUCAGCCACACUGGGACUGAGACACGGCCCAGACUCCUACGGGAGGCAGCAGUGGGGAAUAUUGGACAAUGGGGGCAACCCUGAUCCAGCAUGCCGGAGUGAAGAAGCCUUCGGGUUGAAAGCUCUUUUGGAUGGGCGAUGAUGACGGUACCCGCAUAAGUAGUGAUUCCUAACUUCGUGCCAGCAGCCGCGGUAAUACGAAUCGAAUU